rnacentral:lncRNA from 1 species
UUAAAUCUGUUGGAUGAUGUUUGAAUGAGCACAUGGUUUUUCCUUUUUUUGAUUUUUUUGAAUUUUGUUUUGCUCAUUUGAAUUCUGGUUAAACCUAACUUUGACCAAGAUUUAAACAAGUCUAAAACAUCAAAAUGAAGAACUAAGCAUGGAUCCUUCUUAGUCAAUCCAAAAUGAAGCUGUGGUGAGGUUUUUGAAAUUUUCAUGAAAAAUGUGCUAAAAUGAGGGUCCAAAGGUAGGGUGAACGGCCUCAUCUCUAAGCAAGGUUUUUUUCGACCUUGUCUAAAUCAGCCAAAUAACUUUCCUGGACAUAUAUUCUAUAUAUACGGACUAUGUGCGCUGGUUUUUCCAUUUUUUCAUUUUUUUUAAAUUUGUUUUGCUCAUUUCAAUUCUGGUCAAACUUAACUUUGACCAAGAUGUAAAUAAGUGUAAAACAUCAAAAUGAAAAACUAAGCCUGGAUCCUUCUUAGUCACUCUAAAAUGAAGCUGCGGUGAGUUUUUUGAAAUUUUCAUGUUUAUUUCCCCAAAACACUUCUCUUCACUUCAUACAAAAGAGUUUGAGAUACUCGAGAUAUCAUACAAUACACAUGAACUUAUCAUUUAAAUGUAUGUAAACCUUGUUUAGCAACUUAAAUCGUUAGUAUAUGACAUAAGAAGACUAU